AAUGAACGUUGGCGGCAGGCUUAACACAUGCAAGUCGAACGAAAAGGUAACUUCGGUUACUGGAUUCGUGGCGGACGGGUGAGUAUAACAUGGAAAUCUACCAAGCAGUGGGGGAUAACAGUUGGAAACGACUGAUAAUACCGCAUACGCCAUAUUGGGAAAACUAAGGUGCUGUUUGAUGAGUCCAUGCCGGAUUAGCUAGUUGGUAGGGUAAAAGCCUACCAAGGCGACGAUCUGUAGCUGGUUUGAGAGGAUGAUCAGCCACACUGGGACUGAGACACGGCCCAGACUCCUACGGGAGGCAGCAGUGAGGAAUAUUGCACAAUGGGCGAAAGCCUGAUGCAGCCAUGCCGCGUGAAUGAAGAAGGUUUUCGGACUGUAAAGUUCUUUCAGUGGUGAGAAUAGUGAUGCUAACCACAGAAGAAGUCCCGGCUAACUCCG
rnacentral:rRNA from 1 species